rnacentral:rRNA from 1 species
GUCUACGGCCAUGUUACCCUGAACAAGCCCAAUCCCAUCUGAUCUCAGAAGCUAAGGAGGGUCGGGCCUGGUUAGUAUUUGUAUGGGAGACCAUCUAGGAAGACCAGGGGCUGUAGGUG